UUAGCAUGAUGCUUGAAUAGAGGAGUUUGAGCUAUAUCGAUGGACCCAUUCCGGUGCCUCUUGAUGAGAUGAAGGAGGCACAAUGAUAAUGUUCUUUUGUUUUGGCAAGUCAAGCCUAUUGUACAUGUUUUUCAGCUUAGCGAGGAAGGUUCAUGUGAGGAUAUAAGCUUUGAUGGCCAGUCUUCCAGCUUCAAUGAAUGGAUUCUUCCUACAAAAGAAU